GCAAUUAUACAGCGAAACUGCGAAUGGCUCAUUAUAUAAGUUAUCGUUUAUUUGAUAGUACCUUACUACUUGGAUAACCGUGGUAAUUCUAGAGCUAAUACAUGCUAAAAAUCCCGACUUCGGAAGGGAUGUAUUUAUUAGAUUAAAAACCAAUGCCCUUCGGGGCUCCUUGGUGAUUCAUGAUAACUUCUCGAAUCGCAUGGCCUUGCGCCGGCGAUGGUUCAUUCAAAUUUCUUCCCUAUCAACUUUCGAUGUUUGGGUAUUGGCCAAACAUGGUUGCAACGGGUAACGGAGGGUUAGGGCUCGACCCCGGAGAAGGAGCCUGAGAAACGGCUACUACAUCCAAGGAAGGCAGCAGGCGCGCAAAUUACCCAAUCCCGACACGGGGAGGUAGUGACAAUAAAUACUGAUACAGGGCUCUUUUGGGUCUUGUAAUUGGAAUGAGUACAAUUUAAAUCCCUUAACGAGGAACAAUUGGAGGGCAAGUCUGGUGCCAGCAGCCGCGGUAAUUCCAGCUCCAAUAGCGUAUAUUAAAGUUGUUGUGGUUAAAAAGCUCGUAGUUGAACCUUGGGCCUGGCUGGCCGGUCCGCCUCACCGCGUGUACUGGUCCGGCCGGGCCUUUCCCUCUGUGGAACCCCAUGCCCUUCACUGGGUGUGGCGGGGAAACAGGACUUUUACUUUGAAAAAAAUUAGAGUGCUCCAGGCAGGCCUAUGCUC
rnacentral:rRNA from 1 species